CAGCCCCGUUGAGAAUCACAGCUGCAAGGAACGCUGGAAACAGCCCAACAUCCUGGACUCUCGAGGGGUCUGCACUGACCUUCUGUGGGACCUUGUGCCUGUUCUGGAACUUUCUGAGCCUUGGGUUUCCUAACAGGGAUAUGAAUACUCUUUGGGUUUAUUGGGAUGCAGGGCCGGCGUGUACCAUCUCCGUGUGCCCGGGGCCAGGCACACAGCAGGAGUUAGCUGGCUGCUAAACAUGCCGGCCUCGAGGCAAGCAAGGUUAAAACAAGGGCAGCUCAUCUACUGCCGCAGACCCUCCCCGCCUGCUCCACGAGCCAAAACUCCAGUUGGACAAGAGACUGACUUCAGGAACUUUCUCUUGUGGUUGCAAUUUGCUGUAGCAGUCGGUCCACAGGUAAGAAAGGGGAGAGAUGACCUUCCGUGGGCUCUGGGGCCAAAGACUCACCAGAAGCUGUCAACACAAGGAGCUGAAGGAUGGCCCAGGUCACCCCGCCAUGGUCCCACUGGACGACCAAGCAAGAGUGCCAUGUCCUGAGCUUCCUGCACCCAUAGCUGGCAUCAAAAUCCCAGGAAGUUGGUAUGAUUACUGCCCUUUUUCACAGAAACUGAAGCAUAAGCACAGGUCACCUUAAGUAACCUGUUCAAGGUCACAGAGUAAGUGCUCCAGCCAUACGGCGAGGAAACCAGUGCACCUGCGACCAUCUGCAAUGACACCACAUCUGCAGCUGCUUAAUCAGCCCCGGGAUGGUCACUGCAGGAAGAAAUGGGCUUCAGACUAAACCUCCUAAGCCUGGUUCUGUGCAUGCAAGUGUUCUAUAAAUAUUAAUAUUCAGAACAUGCUCCUUAACAUAUGUUAAGACGUAUGCGAUAAAAGCUGAUGAUAAUAUUGCUAAUUAAAGAAUACCGGGUGCUCAGGACGAGACUGCACCAGUGCUGACCCUGUGAGUGCCUCUCACUAACAUCUGCCACCUCUUCUUCCCAUCUUAGCUCCAAGUCCCACAUGGGCAGGGACCGCCAUGUGUUCACUGUUGUUUCUCCAACACCUUCCCCUCUUAUUCUACGAGGAGUUAUCACAAGGCAGAGUAAGUGAGGAGAGA